rnacentral:lncRNA from 1 species
AUUAUGUAAGAUGUUCCCAGUCUCAUCUCUGCCUGCGAGUGUGAGGCAUGAGGUCGCUUUAAGAGACAUCUCAGCUCCUACCAGUGGUCCUGGCAGGACACCUCCUACCUCCUCCUCCUCCUCGACCACAAACUCUCAGCUUUGCCUCACUUGAUGCACAGCGGCGCGAAGAAGUCCUAGAAGAAAUAAGACUCGGAAAGCAGUUGGCACCUACCAACGGAGGUCUUCUUCAUCUGUCCGGAGCUGAGAAAGUCCGCCCAAGUGCGAGCAGACGCACAGCUGCAGAGGGACAGUUGAUCCAGGACAGAGCUACAAAGACCGAGGACACCGCACAACGGGAAGCACUGCAUCGCUUCACGAGUCCAAAUUCUGUCAUGAAUAUUCUGCAUCAAGGCUCUGAAGGAUGGGUCUUGGCUACAUGUUUGCCAUAUGC